rnacentral:rRNA from 1 species
UACGUAGGGUGCAAGCGUUAAUCGGAAUUACUGGGCGUAAAGCGUCUGUAGGUGGCUUUUUAAGUCCGCCGUCAAAUCCCAGGGCUCAACCCUGGACAGGCGGUGGAAACUACCAAGCUGGAGUACGGUAGGGGCAGAGGGAAUUUCCGGUGGAGCGGUGAAAUGCGUAGAGAUCGGAAAGAACACCAACGGCGAAGGCACUCUGCUGGGCCGACACUGACACUGAGAGACGAAAGCUAGGGGAGCAAAUGGG